rnacentral:rRNA from 1 species
AGUGAACGCUGGCGGUAGGCCUAACACAUGCAAGUCGAACGGCAGCACAGUAAGAGCUUGCUCUUACGGGUGGCGAGUGGCGGACGGGUGAGGAAUACAUCGGAAUCUACUUUUUCGUGGGGGAUAACGGAGGGAAACUUACGCUAAUACCGCAUACGACCUACGGGUGAAAGCAGUGGAUCUUCGGACCUUGCGCGAUUGAAUGAGCCGAUGUCGGAUUAGCUAGUUGGCGGGGUAAAGGCCCACCAAGGCGACGAUCCGUAGCUGGUCUGAGAGGAUGAUCAGCCACACUGGAACUGAGACACGGUCCAGACUCCUACGGGAGGCAGCAGUGGGGAAUAUUGGACAAUGGGCGAAAGCCUGAUCCAGCCAUACCGCGUGGGUGAAGAAGGCCUUCGGGUUGUAAAGCCCUUUUGUUGGGAAAGAAAAGAAGCAGGUUAAUACCCCGCUGUUCUGACGGUACCCAAAGAAUAAGCACCGGCUAACUUCGUG